AUGGGACGACACUCCAGAGUGGAGCUAGGGACCAAAAGAAGGAAUAAGGCAGCUUAUCUUGCUGAUUGUGAACCUGAGGUGCUGAAAGGAGUCAGCAGAGGAGAAAGUGAGGAAACGGCUCGCUGGUUCCAGUGUACAAUACUAUGCAAGAGCAAAAAACUAGAGGGUCAAGUCUUCAUGGUUGGACCACGGGUCUACUUAGAUAAAAUACCUCGACUUGACACAACAUAUUCCUCUGUGAAUAUAGAUCUCAUUGGAAUUGCAAGAAAGAACAAUGAAGGAUCAGCUGCUGUGGCUUUCAUGAGCUACAACACGAUGGAGAAUCUACUUAAGCCAGACUUUUUCGACACAUCAAAUGACACAGUUA
rnacentral:lncRNA from 1 species